GGGAACACUCCCUGCCCUUCCUUUAAAAGCCCCUGGGCCCUUUGCCCUUGCAAAAGCCCUUGCAUCCACCCAGCGCCUUUUGCAUGUCACAGACCUCAGCUGUUUUCAGAUCUACUGCAGUCUAGAUGCUUUUACUUGAAAGGAGGCUCAGGCAGCUUUUGGACAGAAGGAAGAAGAUUGCCUACCAAAUCUUGCACCGAACCAACAGCAUAUGAAGAUAAGAACUCCACAACUCCAGGAAGGAGACAACUGAGUGGGAAGGCUAGGUAGUGCAGAGGAUGCCAGACUAGUAUUAUAAAUGUUGCAGUAUUUUUCAUGCUUAUUAACUCUCCUAUCACAAAUAUUUAAAAUCAUGGUUGACAUACUCUGUCUAAUUUGUUUUGAGCAGACCUAUUCAUGUAUUCAUAGCCUUAAGGGUGAUGAAAUUAUUAAUUUAUUACUCUAAUCCUCUCUCAAUAUUUGUACUCUUUUUUUUGAUUAAGCUAGGGCAUUUAUCAGUAAAAUUAUAUUGGCACAGCUUCUAGAGUAGACAUAUUUAUAUGAGUACAAAAGUAUCUUAUAGUGGUUAAAUCCCUACUUAUACAGAAAUAGGUAUACAAGUAUGACUACAUCCAGACAAUAAUAUCACUUCAACUAAAUCCUCAUAAAUAGCCCAAGUUUACUGUUCAGACAAAGCCUUAGCCUCCCUUUCAAAUCACUUUGCCAAGUAGCUGUCAUUAUUUUAUGCUGUGAACAAUCAUGAAUUUGCUUGAAACCACCAAAGCAAACUCUUUUGAGGCAAGUGGGUAAUAUUCCAUUCUAGAUUGAACUCAAACCAGCGAUCAAAGACAAGAAUGCCAGGGCAUUGCCAAUUUUCUGAGCCAUCCAGUAACCAUUACCUUGUGUUGUCUGAUUUGCAUGAUAAUUGUAAAAUAAGAGGUUGUGUGAUUUCACUCACUUCCCAAUAUCUUUCCAUACUUUUGGACUGUUUUUUUUUUUUUUUUCGUAAAUGCUUAUUAACAUCUUCUUAUUUCCAGCUCAGUGCAGGCUUUACGUUUUUACACUGUAAUAUUCAGUAAGGCGCCAUCCUUAGAGGAAAACGGAAAUGGUGAAAUCCCUCGGGACGUCGCUCGCAGGCGGGUUCCGCGCUCCAUCCCUCGGGGUCCCGCCGCGGGUCCCGCUCCCACCGCCUGCGCUCGCGUGCCUCGCCACCUACCGGCCACCCGUGGUACCGCCGCGGGGAGCUCGUCAGCUCGGAGGCGUCGUAAGGCCCGAGGCUUUUCUCAAUAUUUAUCAGUGAUCGCUCUGUUUUUACAAAGCCUUAGGCACACAGGGAGCAUGUGAUAUGCCAGCCUACUGUGGUAUUUUUAAUGUGAAAACACAACAAUUCGUGAUAAGAAGUCACAGUGAUGGUUGAGAAGAUAUACCAGCCAUUCCGGCAUCUUUGUUGCUGAGAUAGUCAUCUCUUGUAAAAGGGCCUUUGAGGACAAUGAUUUCUCAAACAUGGACCCAUAGUUGCCGGAACUUUUUUGCAGGCACUCAACUCAUCUACAUCUGCUCUGUAAACAGCUGUUCAGUAAGAAAACAAUUUCCCUUGGAUGAAGAUGACACCGACUUUUACUCCUCAGCAAAAAUAACUGGGACAACAGAGGAAAUUUUAAUUUAAAAAGAACUUUUCCUUUUAAGUGACAUCUUUGUAUAGGUGGAAAUUAUUUCUGCCAGUGCACUCACAAGUCAAUUUUCAAGCAUUGAUUUAAUAAUAAGAAGUAGCACACUGUCUAAAAGUAAAUGUUUAAUAUAUAUCUAUCAUCUAUGCACAAAUGCCUUCACUCAUGAGUCAUAGGAAGAGUCAUCAUUAGAGGAUAAUCACAAAGGCUUAAAGAAAGGCUGUAUUAACUCAUUCUUCUUACAACAGCACAAAAAGAGCUGUUGCUCAGACCUGAAGGGGAUCAAAGAUUUUAAAUGCAUACAGGUUUGAUUUAUGAAGCAACCAAGAAAAUCCAACUCGUUUCUGUUAUUCACUAAUCACUAAAAGAUAUAACCUUAUUUUUAUUGCUUCCAAAUACCACUGAUUAAGAAUUUACACAAGGUAUCUGACCUCAAUUGCAAUGAUUACUGUCUGCUUCACAGUGUUUACUGCAUUUAAAUUCACAGUGUUCUUGUGAGAUAAAAAAGUGCAAUUGUUCACACAAAUGAAGAGCUAGUAGAUUUUAAGAUGAAUGACAAAAUUCUAAAAAUUAUUUAGAUGGCUUGAAUCCUACUGAUUUCAAGGAGCUGAAAUUUAUUUUUCAAGGGUAUGUGUCAGAAGUGAUGGGCAGGAUUCAUCUCACUUAACUUUAAACUGUCUAAGCAAUUUGUCAGCUCUCCCUCUACCAAAAUGCAGGGCUACAGAUCUCUAGAGUACAAUUCAUUCUUUCCCCAUGCAGGAUCUAAGCCAGAUGAUUGAAUAAAUCUUUGGAAUAAUUUUAUUCUCCACUGAUUACAUAAAAAACCUAAAUGGCUGGCAUAAAAUGUACAUUGAGCAUAGUCAAAUGGAAGUGAAAAGAAACCUACCUGGUGGAUACCAGAGAAGUUUUAGACCACUUUAAUGUCCAUUCCAAAUUAACAUGAGGGGUUUUCAGCCGUUGUAACUUGCUUCCACUGUACCUAAACUGAAAAAGUCAUACUGGCAGGGAGACUGCUGAGCCAUGGAAAUAGGAUGUACUUCUCCUCCUAAGAAGGAAUUGUCAUAAUAAGCCUCAGAGGACUUGCAAGAUUUAUAAUUGUCUAGGUCUUCCGUUGUGAGUCUAGCCACCUUAUGGCUCAAAGCUCUAGAGUUAAGUUGCUCAAUGUUGGAGCAGCCUAUAUUCAUCCUUGUUUGCAGUGGGAGUUAAUUUCUUAGAUAUGAAUAUUUCAAGCAUUUGAAACCCUUUAAUUCUCAUGUUAUUUUAAAAUUCUUUCCCUCAAGGUUUUUAACACUGGACAACCACUAGGAAACAUGUAAAAUGAGUACUUUUUGUUUUAGUCCUGUUUUAAUGUCUGGGUGUUUGCAAAAUUAAAAAGAUAACAUUACAAUAGAUAAUGACAGUUGUAAUUACUUGUAGUCUCAAUAUAGACUUCUAUUGGGAAAAUAUGUCUUACUUUACUAGAUUUUCCCUCUAGCAUACAAUCAUAACUGGAUAGGAAAAUCAGACUCAGUGCAACAAUUCAGCAAAUAAAUUGAGGACUUCACUUUCCAGGCCUCACAUACUUGACAUUCUGGUACUUCAAAGAAACUUGAAAAAUUAAAGAAUGGAAUGUUAUUGGCAACAUCAUCUACUGCUCACUAAAGGUCAUGUGUAGAUUCAUAAAACGGAAGGGUUUUCUUUAUAACAACAACAAAAAAAUCUAUAUUUCAUUACAGUUGCACACUGUGGUGUGACUGAUUGGUUGUUGCAGAGCUAAUAAAAAAGAUGACUACUUGCAGCUGAUAACAUAUCCUAUUUCCAUUUAAUUUGAUGGUUUUCUGCUAGGCUGUUGGGAACCUGUAAUCACAAAACAUUGAAGAUUCAGCUAUUUCGAAGCUUGGUUGCAAUUUCUACUGUUUUCUGACUACUUAGCCUUACUUAGAAAUAUAACCUCUUACUAUUUGUUAUGAAGAUAGUCAUUAAAGUAUACACUAACACUGUCAUAUGUAAAAUUCACUAUCUCCAACCAAACAUAUGAGAAUAUGUACUACCUUUUUAUGCCAGAGAUAAUUAUAAUUUUUAAUUUUUUUAUUGGUGCCUAAUUACUCUAGGAAUGUACUAUUAAUAAACAAAAAGGACAGUUUCUGCCUUAAAGGACUUCCAAGUACCAGCUAGAGGCAAAAAAAUCAAAGAAAGUAAGGGCAAUUUUUGCACAAGGGCAGAAUUGGGACAGAUCAUUUCCACAAAGAAUUUGUACAUUAAAACCUUACUUAUUGUUUUAACCUAUUUUUAAUACAGAACCUGGGACCAGGUUCUGUAAAUCAAUGGUAGAUACAAUUUUAAAAACCAACGUGUUAAACUAACAAUUACUUGGAAAUUCAGUGGUCCCAAAGUUUCUGGGGGGUAAACGUAGCCAGAUAUACCUCAUUUAGCUGCACAAAUACAACAGAUAUCAGAAAACCAUAAUGGCUUCCUAUAUAGCUGUUGUCAGAUGGCAGAAAGGGCCUAACAACAAAGCCAAAUAAAUGUUAUUUUAAUUGUUUAUUCUAUGACAAUUUAAAUAUGGACACGAAACGUAAUGCAUAAAUAUUUCUAGAUAUUUUUUUCUCCUCAACCUAAAACCAGGGGACACAAAUUUCCAUCAUGAUAUAGGAAUCAUUAGAUCUAUACACAGUCUCAAAAUGCCAAAGCUAACCAUGUGAUUGUGUUCCUGAGCUGGUCUCAUAUUAGUUGGGUGCUUUUUUACUUUCUCAGCUUAAGAUAUCCUCCCGCUGAGGAGGAAGGAUUUGGCAGAAACAACACUUGAUGAACUGACCACAACCCAUGAAGUUGAGCCUGGGAAGAAGGGAAGAUGGGAAAAGGGCAUUUUCAAUUUUCUUUCUUGUUAUUCUACUCUUAUAUAAUUGUUAAUAAAUUAGAAUAAUUUCCCCAAGUCGAGUCUGUUUUACCAUGGUAGUAAUUGGUGAGCAAUCUCUCCGUGCCCUUAUUUAAAUGCAGGAGCCUUCCCUUAUACUUUCUCUCCCCUGUCCAUCUGAGAAGGGAAGUGAUGGAACAGCUUUGGUGAGCACCUGGAGUCCAACCAGGGUCAACCUGCCACAGUUGUUGUGAUCAUUUUGUUGUAUAUAAAUACUCACAUCUUGAAACAGAAGAGGAAGGCAUCAGAGCUGGUGAAAGAUCUGAAAGGCAUAUCCUAUGAGGAGAAGCUCAAUACUUUGGGCUUGUCUAAUGUGGAGAAAAGGAGGCUGUGAGGCAAAACCUCAUUGCUCUCUACAGCUUCCUGAAGAGGGGAAGUGGAGACUAAGGAACUGAGCUCUUUUCCCUGGUAUCCGGUGGCAGGAGGUGUGGGAAUGGUUCAUCACUGUGCCAGGGGAGAUUCAGAUUAGACAUUUGGAAGCAUUUCUUUACCAAGAGGGUGGUCAAACACUUCUUAAAACUUCUUGAAAAGGUGUCAGUGCCCCAAGCCUGUCAGUGUUUAAGAUGCAUUUGGACAAUGUCCAUAAUAAUAGCCCUGAAUCAAUCAGGCAGUUGGAUUAGACAAUUCUGUAGAUCCCCUCCAACUGAA